AUUGAACGCUGGCGGCAGGCUUAACACAUGCAAGUCGAGCGGAGAUGAGGUGCUUGCACCUUAUCUUAGCGGCGGACGGGUGAGUAAUGCUUAGGAAUCUGCCUAUUAGUGGGGGACAACAUUCCGAAAGGAACGCUAAUACCGCAUACGUCCUACGGGAGAAAGCAGGGGAUCUUCGGACCUUGCGCUACUAGAUGAGCCUAAGUCGGAUUAGCUAGUUGGUGGGGUAAAGGCCUACCAAGGCGACGAUCUGUAGCGGGUCUGAGAGGAUGAUCCGCCACACUGGGACUGAGACACGGCCCAGACUCCUACGGGAGGCAGCAGUGGGGAAUAUUGGACAAUGGGGGGAACCCUGAUCCAGCCAUGCCGCGUGUGUGAAGAAGGCCUUAUGGUUGUAAAGCACUUUAAGCGAGGAGGAGGCUACUGAGACUAAUACUCUUGGAUAGUGGACGUUACUCGCAGAAUAAGCACCGGCUAACUCUGUGCCAGCCGCCGCGGUAGAAC
rnacentral:rRNA from 1 species